rnacentral:rRNA from 1 species
UACGUAGGUGGCAAGCGUUGUCCGGAUUUACUGGGCGUAAAGCGCGCGCAGGCGGUCGUUCAAGUCGCGUGUGAAAGCCCCCGGCUCAACUGGGGAGGGUCACGCGAUACUGAUCGACUCGAAGGCAGGAGAGGGUAGUGGAAUUCCCGGUGUAGUGGUGAAAUGCGUAGAUAUCGGGAGGAACACCAGUGGCGAAGGCGACUACCUGGCCUGUUCUUGACGCUGAGGCGCGAAAGCUAGGGGAGCAAACGGG